CCUACGGGUGGCAGCAGUGGGGGAUAUUGCACAAUGGGGGGAACCCUGAUGCAGCGACGCCGCGUGGGUGAAGGAGCGUUUCGGCGCGUAAAGCCCUAUCGGCAGGGAAGAAGAUGACGGUACCUGACCAAGAAGCAUCGGCUAACUCCGUGCCAGCAGCCGCGGUAAUACGGAGGAUGCGAGCGUUAUCCGGAUUUAUUGGGUUUAAAGGGUGCGCAGGCGGUCUGUUAAGUCAGCGGUCAAAGCCCGGGGCUCAACCCCGGACCGCCGUUGAAACUGGCAGUCUCGAGUUGGAGAGAAGUAUGCGGAAUGCGCGGUGUAGCGGUGAAAUGCAUAGAUAUCGCGCAGAACUCCGAUUGCGAAGGCAGCAUGCCGGCUCCACACUGACGCUGAGGCACGAAAGCGUGGGUAUCGAACAGGAUUAGAUACCCGUGUAGUC
rnacentral:rRNA from 1 species